CCUACGGGAGGCAGCAGUGAGGAAUAUUGGUCAAUGGGCGCGAGCCUGAACCAGCCAAGUAGCGUGAAGGAUGACUGCCCUACGGGUUGUAAACUUCUUUUAUAAAGGAAUAAAGUGAGGCACGUGUGCCUUUUUGUAUGUACUUUAUGAAUAAGGAUCGGCUAACUCCGUGCCAGCAGCCGCGGUAAUACGGAGGAUCCGAGCGUUAGCCGGAUUUAUUGGGUUUAAAGGGAGCGUAGAUUGGUUGUUACGUCAGUUGUGAAAGGUUGCGGCUCAACCGGAAAAUUGCAAUUGAUACUGGCAGACUUGAGUACAGUUGAGGGAAGCGGAAUUCGUGGUGUAGCGGUGAAAUGCUUAGAUAUCACGAAGAACUCCGAUUGCGAAGGCAGCUUACUAAACUGCAACUGACAUUGAUGCUCGAAAGUGUGGGUAUCAAACAGGAUUAGAUACCCCUGUAGUC
rnacentral:rRNA from 1 species